rnacentral:rRNA from 1 species
UACAGAGGUCUCAAGCGUUGUUCGGAAUCACUGGGCGUAAAGGGUGCGUAGGCGGCCCGGUAAGUCAGAGGUGAAAUCCCGGAGCUCAACUUCGGAAUUGCCUCCGAUACUGCCGUGCUUGAGGACUGGAGAGGAGAUUGGAAUUCACAGUGGAGCAGUGAAAUGCGUAGAUAUUGUGAGGAACACUAGUGGCGAAGGCGAAUCUCUGGACAGUUCCUGACGCUGAGGCACGAAGGCCAGGGGAGCAAACGGG